rnacentral:rRNA from 1 species
GACGAACGCUGGCGGCGUGCUUAACACAUGCAAGUCGAACGGUAAGGCCCUUUCGGGGGUCCACGAGUGGCGAACGGGUGAGUAACACGUGGGUGAUCUGCCCUGCACUUUGGGAUAAGCCUGGGAAACUGGGUCUAAUACCGGAUAGGACUACGCGAUGCAUGUCGUGUGGUGGAAAGCUUUUGCGGUGUGGGAUGGGCCCGCGGCCUAUCAGCUUGUUGGUGGGGUGAUGGCCUACCAAGGCGACGACGGGUAGCCGGCCUGAGAGGGUGUCCGGCCACACUGGGACUGAGAUACGGCCCAGACUCCUACGGGAGGCAGCAGUGGGGAAUAUUGCACAAUGGGCGCAAGCCUGAUGCAGCGACGCCGCGUGGGGGAUGACGGCCUUCGGGUUGUAAACCCCUUUCAGCACAGACGAAGCGUAAGUGACGGUAUGUGCAGAAGAAGCACCGGCCAACUACGUG